rnacentral:lncRNA from 1 species
CACCAUGUCCUAGUUAUUCCUACUGAGGGCUGGUUUCUCUCUGCUGAUAUACACCAUGUCCUAGUUAUUCCUACUGAGGGCUGUUCUGCUGUUAUACACCAUGUCCUAGUUAUUCCUACUGAGGGCUGUUCUGCUGUUAUACACAAUGUCCUAGUUAUUCUACUGAGGGCUGUUUCUGCGUAUUAUAC